rnacentral:lncRNA from 1 species
CCAGAACUUUGUACUUAGGGUGUCAAGUGGGAUCCCACCAAUUCCCACUUAUAAGCCAAUUUCUAAAUUUUAGUUCAGGUUUUACGCCAAAAUAUUGUACUAGCAAAUUCCUUUUGAACUAGAAGUGGGACAUAAGCGGGAUCCCAAUUACAUCCCUAAUUGUACUAAACAUUGAUUUAAGAAUUUUUCACCAAUGCAUCCCAUUUAAGAAACAUUAAUGUGACAGAAGUUACCCACCAUUAACCAUUUCUCUGAAAAGGAGGCGUUAAUUUCCGUCACAACUUCCGUUGCUGUUUUCAACUAACCUUCUCCCUAAUUUGCACAAAAAAAUAAAAUAAAAUCAAGAGUUGCUCGAAAAAUAUAUUCAGGAGUGACAUAUCAUUACUACUGGGGUGCUUGUCUGGGCACAAGGCAUAUUGCAGUGAGAUUGUACCUUUUGCUCCCUGCAAUUGCUCAAUAAUUGUGGGGGAGUUCCACUAAAAAGGCUUGAACGCACACUCCACUCUUUUAUUGAACCUUUAUUGAAUCGUCACCGUCCAUAUGCCAUGCAUGAUGCAUCAAAGGACACACACAACUCGUCGACACGAGCGACCAACCGAUGUGCUGAUGUGCACACAGAAUUACAGAUGGAUGAGGAUGAUAGAUACCUGUGCUGUUGUGUGCAUGCAGAAAUGCUCCACCUGAGGAUCGCAUGCAACAACUUUGCCAUACACACUACGGGAGAAACCGGCAAAGCCGGAGGCCA